rnacentral:miRNA from 1 species
GCUUCAAGAUGGCGGCGGGGAGGUAGGCAGAGCCAGACGCCGCUUCUGCCGCCGCCGCCGCCGCUGCCACCGCCACCGCCGCCUCCGCCUCCGCUCCCGUCGCC